rnacentral:rRNA from 1 species
AUUGAACGCUGGCGGCAGGCCUAACACAUGCAAGUCGAACGGUAGCACAGAGAGCUUGCUCUCGGGUGACGAGUGGCGGACGGGUGAGUAAUGUCUGGGAAACUGCCCGAUGGAGGGGGAUAACUACUGGAAACGGUAGCUAAUACCGCAUAACGUCGCAAGACCAAAGUGGGGGACCUUCGGGCCUCACACCAUCGGAUGUGCCCAGAUGGGAUUAGCUAGUAGGUGGGGUAAUGGCUCACCUUGGCGACGAUCCCUAGCUGGUCUGAGAGGAUGACCAGCGACACUGGAACGGAGACACGGUCCAGACUCCUACGGGAGGCAGCAGUGGGGAAUAUUGCACAAUGGGCGCAAGCCUGAUGCAGCAAUGCCGCGUGUAUGAAGAAGGCCUUCGGGUUGUAAAGUACUUUCAGCGGGGAGGAAGGCGGUGAAGUUAAUAGCUUCACCGAUUGACGUUACCCGCAGAAGAAGCACCGGCUAACUCCGUGCCAGCAGCCGCCGUAA